UACGGGGGGGGCAAGCGGUUGUUCGGAAUUACUGGGCGUAAAGGGCGCGUAGGCGGGAUGGCAAGUCGGUCGUGAAAUCCUUCGGCUCAACCGAAGAACGUCGGCCGAUACUGCCGUUCUUGAGGGAUGCAGAGGAGAUUGGAAUUCCCGGUGUAGCGGUGAAAUGUGUAGGAGAUCGGGAGGAACACCAGUGGCGAAGGCGGCUCACUGGGCUGGUAUUGACGCUGAGGUGCGAAAGCGUGGGGAGCAAACAGGAUUGAGA
rnacentral:rRNA from 1 species